CGCCAAAUAGCUAGCCUACCCCUCUAAUAACAAAAAAUAACUAUAUAUACCCCCACAAACACCCAAAAACAAAAAAUAAACCAUUCAACCCCCUUAGUAUCGGCGAGAGAAAAGGGCCUUAAGAGCAAUAGAAAAAGUACCGCAAGGGAACGCUGAAAGAGAAAUGAAAUUAACCCAUACAAGCCAAAAAAAGCAGAGAUUAAAUCUCGUACCUUUUGCAUCAUGAUUUAGCCAGUGAGCCCCGAGCAAAGAGCACUUUAGUUCGACAACCCGAAACUAGCAUGAGCUACUCCAAGACAGCCUAUAAGGGCAAAUCCGUCUCUGUGGCAAAAGAGUGGAAAGAGCUUUGAGUAGAGGUGACAGACCUACCGAAUCUAGUUAUAGCUGGUUGCCUGGGAAAUGAAUAUUAGUUCAGCCUCAUAAAUUCUUUUUUAACACAACUAACUUACGCCUACUACCCAAAGAAUUUAAGAGAGUUAGACGAAGGGGGUACAGCCCCUUUGAAACAAGACACUACUUUCCCCAGCAGGGUUAAGAUCAAAUACCUUUAAGGGUAAAUAACUUCAGUAGGCCUGAAAGCAGCCACCUCCUUAGAAAGCGUUUAAGCUCAAGUUCUAACCACCCCGUAUAUUUCGACCAUUAAAUCUAAGCCCCCUAAUUUUACCAGGCCGCCCCAUGCAAACAUGGGAGUGACUAUGCUAAUAUGAGUAAUAAGAGGGUAAUAUACCCCUCUCCUUGCACAUGUGUAAAUCGGAAUGGAUUUACCACCGAAAAUUAACGUCCCCAAACAAAGAGGGUACUGAAUACCAAACAAGCCCAACUAGAAAACUAUCCAAUAAUAAACCGUUAACCCUACACAGGUGUGCCCAUAAGGAAAGACUAAAAGAAAGAGAAGGAACUCGGCAAACAUACCUUUCAAGCCUCGCCUGUUUACCAAAAACAUCACCUCUUGUAAAAUGAAUAUAAGAGGCCCCGCCUGCCCGGUGACCUAAUGUUUAACGGCCGCGGUAUCCUGACCGUGCGAAGGUAGCGCAAUAACUUGUCUUUUAAAUGGGGACUAGUAUGAAUGGCACCACGAGGGCUUAUCUGUCUCCUCUUUCAAGUCAAUGAAAUUGAUCUUCCCGUGCAAAAGCGGGAAUAAGCACAUAAGACGAGAAGACCCUGUGGAGCUUUAGACACCAAGACAGCUCGCGUUAAGAAUACCCCACAAAGGUUAAAACUAAAAAAGACCUGCCCUAAUGUCUUUGGUUGGGGCGACCGCGGAGUAAAAGAAAACCUCCCUCUGCAUGGAAUGAGGGUAAAAUUCAUUCCCUUUAAACCAAGAGCGACAGCUCGAACUAACAGAAUCUUCUGACCUUAAAGAUCCGGCCCACUGCCGAUCAACGAAUCAAGUUACCCCAGGGAUAACAGCGCAAUCCCCUUUUAGAGCCCAUAUCGACAAGGGGGUUUACGACCUCGAUGUUGGAUCAGGACAUCCUAAUGGUGCAGCCGCUAUUAAGGGUUCGUUUGUUCAACGAUUAAAGUCCUACGUGAUCUGAGUUCAGACCGGAGUAAUCCAGGUCAGUUUCUAUCUAUGAUUAUCCUUUUUUCUAGUACGAAAGGAGCGAAAAAAGGGGGCCCAUGCUCUCAGCACGCCCCAUCCCUACCUGUUGAAAUCAACUAAAGUAGCCAAAGGGAGAUUUAACACUCUCAACUAAGAGAAAGUUU
rnacentral:rRNA from 1 species